CAUGCCCCUUAUGCUUAGGGCUACACACGUGCUACAAUGGGUAGUACAGAGGGUUGCCAAGCCGUAAGGUGGAGCUAAUCCCUUAAAGCUACUCUCAGUUCGGAUUGUAGGCUGAAACUCGCCUACAUGAAGCUGGAGUUACUAGUAAUCGCAGAUCAGAAUGCUGCGGUGAAUACGUUCCCGGGUCUUGUACACACCGCCCGUCACACCACGGGAGUUGGAGACGCCCGAAGCCGAUUAUCUAACCUUUUGGAAGAAAUCGUCGAAGGUGGAAUCAAUAACUGGGGUGAAGUCGUAACAAGGUAGCCGUAUCGGAAGGUGCGGCUGG
rnacentral:rRNA from 1 species